rnacentral:rRNA from 1 species
UGCGUAACACGUACGUAAUCUACCCUUUGCCAAGGUAUAGCUCGUAGAAAUUCGAAUUAAUACCCCAUACUAUAAAAUUUUCGCCUGAAUAUUUUAUUAAAGCUUGGUUAAAACCUGUAGCAAAGGAUGAGCGUGCGCCCGAUUAGUUGUUGUGAGGUAAUGGCUACCAAGACUGCACGAGGGGGCCUGAGAGGGUGAUCCUCCACACUGGUACUGAGACACGGACCAGACCUUUAAGGAGGGCAGCAGUGAGGAAUAUUGGUCAAUGGAGGAACUCUGAACCAGCCACUCCGCGUGCAGGACGACGGCCUUCUGGGUUGUAAACUGCUUUUGUAUAGAAAUAAAAUUUCUUACUAGUAAGAACUUGAAGGUACUAUACGAAUAAGUGUCGGCUAACUCCGUGCCAGCAGCCGCGGUAAUACGGAGGACACAAGCGUUAUCCGGAUUUAUUGGGUUUAAAGGGUGCGUAGGCGGUUUGUUAAGUCAGUAGUGAAAUCUUACAGCUCAACUGUAAAAUUGCUAUUGAUACUAGCAGCCUAGAGUAAGAUUGGAGCAAUUGGAAUGUGUGGUGUAGCGGUGAAAUGCAUAGAUAUCACACAGAACACCGAUCGCGAAGGCAGAUUGCUAAGUCUUUACUGACGCUGAGGCACGAAAGCGUGGGUAGCAAACAGGAUUAGAUACCCUGGUAGUCCACGCUGUAAACGAUGAUCACUAGCUGUUGGAUUGUUUUUUAUUCAGUGGCCAAUCGAAAGAGGUAAGUGAUCCACCUGGGGAGUACGAUCGCAAGAUUGAAACUCAAAGGAAUUGAGCGGGGGUCCGCACAAGCGGUGGAGCAUCGUGGUUUAAUUCGAUAAUACGCGAGGAACCUUACCAAGGCUUAAAUGUACCACGAAUAAUCUGGAAACAGUUUAGUUUUCGGACGGGGUACAAGGUGCUGCAUGGUUGUCGUCAGCUCGUGCCGUGAGGUGUUGGGUUAAGUCCUGCAACGAGCGCAACCCCCAUUGUUAGUUGCCAACGGAUUAUGCUGGGAACUCUAACAAAACUGCCGAUGCAAAUCGAGAGGAAGGUGGGGAUGACGUCAAAUCAUCAUGGCCCUAACGUCUUGGGCCACACACGUGCUACAAUGGCCGGUACAGAGAGAAGCCACUGGGUGACUAGAAGCGAAUCUCUAAAACCGGUCUCAGUUCGGAUUGGAGUCUGCAACUCGACU